AACGAACGCUGGCGGCAGGCUUAACACAUGCAAGUCGAAGGUGAAGCAGGACUUCGGUCCUGUGGAAACUGGCGCACGGGUGAGUAACGCGUGGGAAUCUACCCCGGGGUGGGGAAUAACCACUGGAAACGGUGGCUAAUACCGCAUACGCCUUGAGAGGGAAAGCUUUAUGCGCCCUGGGAUGAGCCCGCGUCGGAUUAGUUUGUUGGUGGGGUAACGGCCUGCCAAGGCUACGAUCCGUAGCUGGUCUGUGAGGAUGAUCAGCCACACUGGGACUGAGACACGGCCCAGACUCCUACGGGAGGCAGCAGUGAGGAAUAUUGGACAAUGGGGGAAACCCUGAUCCAGCCAUGCCGCGUGCGUGAAGAAGGCCUUAGGGUUGUAAAGCGCUUUCAACGGGGAAGAUGAUGACGGUACCCGUAGAAGAAGCCCCGGCUAACUCCGUG
rnacentral:rRNA from 1 species